GCGGGUGGCGUCGUGCUUACCAUGCGAGUCGAACGGAAAGGCUCUAGCUUGCUGGGGGUACUCGAGUGGCGAACGGGUGAGUAACACGUGGGUGAUCUGCCCUGCACUUCGGGAUAAGCUUGGGAAACUGGGUCUAAUACCGGAUAUGAACGGUCUUUGGUGUGAUUGUUGGAAAGAUUUUUUCGGUGUGGGAUGAGCUCGCGGCCUAUCAGCUUGUUGGUGGGGUAAUGGCCUACCAAGGCGUCGACGGGUAGCCGGCCUGAGAGGGUGUACGGCCACAUUGGGACUGAGAUACGGCCCAGACUCCUACGGGAGGCAGCAGUGGGGAAUAUUGCACAAUGGGCGCAAGCCUGAUGCAGCGACGCCGCGUGGGGGAUGAAGGCCUUCGGGUUGUAAACUCCUUUCGCUAGGGACGAAGCCUUUUUUAAGGUGACGGUACCUGGAUAAGAAGCACCGGCUAACUACGUGCCAGCAGCCGCGGUAAUACGUAGGGUGCAAGCGUUGUCCGGAAUUACUGGGCGUAAAGAGCUCGUAGGUGGUUUGUCGCGUCGUCUGUGAAAUUCCGGGGCUUAACUCCGGGCGUGCAGGCGAUACGGGCAUAACUUGAGUGCUGUAGGGGAGACUGGAAUUCCUGGUGUAGCGGUGAAAUGCGCAGAUAUCAGGAGGAACACCGAUGGCGAAGGCAGGUCUCUGGGCAGUAACUGACGCUGAGGAGCGAAAGCAUGGGUAGCGAACAGGAUUAGAUACCCUGGUAGUCCAUGCCGUAAACGGUGGGCGCUAGGUGUAGGGGGCUUCCACGU
rnacentral:rRNA from 1 species